GAGCCAGCCUGUGCUGGGGAGGCCUGAGGAGGAGGUGGGGACGCAUCUAUGCUGAUGAGCUGCAGCCUCCUCAGGACCCGCAGGGAGUCUUCAGGGGGAAAUUGGGCCGUGAUCACACUGUCAGGAACCCCGGUCUCCUCAGGACCCAAGGUGAGGCUUUAGGAAAAUGUGGGCCCACAUCCACCCUGACAGGAGCCCCUGGGCGCCUCAGGACCCGCGGGGAACUUCAGGAAGAUGUGGGCUGACAUCCUCACUGACAGGAACCCUGAGCCUCCUCAGGACCGCCAGGAGGCUUCAGGAAUUGUGGUCCCACAUCCAUGUGGACAGGAGCCCUGAGCAACCUCAGGACUUGCGGGGAGGCUUCAGGAAAAUGUGGCACUGCGUCCACUCUGGCAGGAGCUCCUGGGCCCCUCAGGACGUAAGUUGAGACAUCUGGAAGCUGGGGGCCGCAUUCAUGGUUACAGGAGCCCCGGCCUCCUCAGAACCCUCAGUGAUGCUUCGGAAGGACUUGGGGCCACAUGGACACAACAGGACGCUGACUUCCUCAGGACCCCCGGUGUAGACUUUGGGAAAUAUGGGGAUGUGUCCAUGCGGACAAAAGUCCCCAGCCUUGUCAGAGCCUGUGGUGAGGCCUAAGAAAGAUGUGGAUGCCGAAUCCACACUGACAGGUUUCUCCGGCCUCCUUAGGAUGCACUGUGAAGGAUUGGGAUGAUUUGAGUCCACGUCCAUGCUGACAGGAGCCCCCAGCCUCCUCAGGUCUUAUGGUGAGGCUGAGGAAAAUGUGGGGUCACGUCAAGACUGAGAGGACCCCGUCCUCCUCAGGACUUGCACUUUGGCUUCGGGACACAUGGGGCUGCAUCAAGGCUGACAGGAACCCACAGCCUCUUCAGGAUGCGCGGUGAGUUUUCAGGGGAUGUGGGGCCAUGUCCAGGCUGACGGGAGCCCCCGGCCUCCUGAGAACCUGCUGUGAGGCUUCCAGAGGAUGUGAGGCAUACUCCACGGUGACAGGAGACCCGGCGUCCUCAGGACCCGCUGACUAUGACUCUGGAACACGUGGGGCCACGUGCGCACUCACAGGAGCCCAGCUUCCUCAGGACCCCCUAGAGGACUCUGGAGGCGCCAUUGGGGGCCACGUCCACAUCAGAAGGGACUACUCAGAACCACAGGGAGCCAGCCUGUGCUGGGGAGGCCUGAGGAGGACGUGGGGACACGUCCACGCUGAUGAGCCGCAGCUUCAGGAAAUUGUGGGCUCGCAUCCAUGCUGA
rnacentral:lncRNA from 12 species